CCCUUAGAUGUUCUGGGCCGCACGCGCGCUACACUGAUGCAUUCAACGAGUUUCUUCCUGGUCCGAGAGGAAUGGGUAACCUUUUGAAAGUGCAUCGUGAUAGGGAUAGACUAUUGCAAUUAUUGGUCUUCAACGAGGAAUUCCUAGUAGACGUAGUUCAUCAGACUGCAUCGAUUACGUCCCUGCCCCUUGUACACACCGCCCGUCGCUCCUACCGAUUGAAUGCUCAGGUGAGCCAUUCGGACCUUCAUCAUGCCGGUUUCCGGUUUUGAUGAGGGAAAGUCUUGCGAACCUUAUCAUUUAGAGGAAGGAGAAGUCGUAACA
rnacentral:rRNA from 1 species